UUUAACUGAGCGUUCAGUUACUUGACGUAGACCCGAAACCGGGCGACCUACCCAUGAGCAGGAUGAAGCGAAAGUAAAAUUUCGUGGAGGUCCGAACCCACGAGCGUUGAAAAGCUCGGGGAUGACUUGUGGGUAGCGGUGAAAUUCCAAUCGAGCCCGGAGAUAGCUGGUUCUCCCCGAAAUAGCUUUAGGGCUAGCCUCAAGGUGAGAGAUACGGAGGUAGAGCACUGAAUGUCCUAGGGGGUAUUGCACCUACCGAAGACUAUCAAACUCCGAAUGCCGUCAUCUUAUACUUGGGAGUCAGACUGUGGGUGAUAAGAUUCAUAGUCGAAAGGGCAACAGCCCAGAUCGUCAGCUAAGGUCCCUAAAUGUAAGUUAAGUGGUAAAGGAUGUGGGAUUGCACAGACAACCAGGAUGUUGGCUUAGAAGCAGCCACUCAUUCAAAGAGUGCGUAAUAGCUCACUGGUCGAGUGAUCCUGCGCCGAAGAUUUCCGGGGCUAAAACUUACUACCGAAGCUACGGCAUCAGUAAUGAUGGGUAGGGGAGCUUCCCAUACGGGUUGAAGCAUGACCGUAAGGACAUGUGGACAGUAUGGGAGUGAGAAUGUUGGCAUGAGUAGCGAGAUGUGGGUGAGAAUCCCACAGGCCGUAAACCCAAGGUUUCCAGGGGAAGGUUCGUCCGCCCUGGGUUAGUCGGGACCUAAGCUGAGGCCGAAAGGCGUAGGUGAUGGACAACAGGUUGAUAUUCCUGUACUACCGAUAACCGUUUGAGAGAAGGGAUGACACAGUAGGAUAAGCUAAGCACACUGUUGGUUAUGUGUGCCCAAGCAUUGAGGCAGUCAAAGUAGGCAAAUCCGCUUUGAUAAUGCUGGGAUGUGAUGGGGAGCGAAAUUUAGUAGCGAAGUAGCUGAUUUCACACUGUCAAGAAAAGUCUCUAUCGAGGUUAAAGGUACCCGUACCGCAAACCGACACAGGUGGGUGAGGAGAGUAUCCUAAGGCCAGCGAGAGAACUGUUGUUAAGGAACUCGGCAAAAUGACCCCGUAACUUAGGGAUAAGGGGUGCCACCAUCAGGUGGCCGCAGAGAAUAGGCCCAAGCGACUGUUUACCAAAAACAUAGGUUUCUGCUAAGUCGCAAGACGAUGUAUAGGAGCUGACGCCUGCCCGGUGCUGGAA
rnacentral:rRNA from 1 species